CUAAGGAACUAAUUAAUAAAUGAAUGCAUGACUAAACUACCAUGCACUUUGAAAUUUUAUUCUUCAGUCCUGGGACCAAAGUGACACAGCAUGAGUGAAAGUGGAUAAUCGAUGAGGGACAUUAACAGGGUUUUUUCUUAUUUUGUAGAGAAAACCUCCAAGCAAAGGAAAGUCUUUAAGCACUUCUAAUUGCAAAAGGAUUAAAAACUUAUAAAUUAAACUCAAAAAUAAAUGUGGAAAUAUGGAAUGCUGGAAACAAAAUGUCAGUUCCUUCCUACUUGCUUGUCAUCUUGUUUAAUUCUUUCAUCAUCAUGUAUUUAAGACAUCUUAAACUUUACAUCUAUGCAACCAUAUGUAGGAAGGAGAAAGUACCCACUUCUGAAAUUGGGAAAUUUAAAAAUAGUCCUAGAACCCCAGGUAAACCACAAAGCUCUAAAUCUCAUAGUUUUUCUCAAUGACCAAUUUAAGUACUGUUAAAAGAUUUCUUCCUGCCAUCAUUCACAUUCAUUGUGGGGCCAUGAGUUCCUUCUCUGGAAUGUAAAUUUCUGAUUUCUUUACAACCACACAUGCAUAGAGCACAUUGCUGCUGAAGUGCUGUCUGACAAUUUAAACCUGGGAAAUUGCUGUAAAGGGAAUUGUAUGGAAAACAGGAAACCUGGUCCAUGCCAAAUAGAUGAGGAAAAGAAAAGUAAAUGAUAUGUAUAAAAAAUACAAUGAAAAUAGAGUUGCUGUUCAGAAACAAUCUGGGACUCUGAUAAUUGGUGAAGAUAGGAGAACAAAACUGAAAAAUGGAAGUAUCUCCACAUGGCUUGGGAGUCUCCAUUUUCACAGGGUGAGCAAGAAGGUUCAUUAGGUGAAAGACAUCAGAUAAUGCCAGGGAACUUCUUUCUCAUACUAUAUUUCCUACUGCUUCCCUAAAGGAGAAACUUCAAAACAAUAAUAGCUUCUCUCUCUCUCUCACACACACACACACAUACACCACUGAGGUGUUCCUUCUUUGCUGGUAAGUGUUGAUGCAAGUGUUAGGCUUGAUGCAUACUCAUGUAUAAACUGGUAAAUAUUCAGUGGAUAAAUAAAUCAACAAAGGAAUGAAUGACUGUGGAAAAACUAUUCUUCAUUGCUGCUUUGGCUUUGCUGUUUAGGGAACAGGCUGAGAGGUGAUAUAAAAUGAUCUAAAUCAUCAGAAGAAAGCUUCAUGGAGAUAAAAACCAAAGAACUCCAUCGCUUUAUGAAAGUCUUAUCAAAAGAGAAAAGGAAUAAUUUACCAAUAGUUAUAAUACUAACAUUACACCCUCUCUUUUUAGUUCAUUUACUUGAACAAAUGGAAAGUUUUCCUGUCAGCCUAGGUGAAGUCAGUGGUGUCAACUUUUGCACUUUCUCAUAAACACUCUGAGAAUUAGCACCAUGAUUUCAAGGCUUGGUAUGAGACAGAGAAAUUAGUGAGAGUCAUAGGAGGAUUGUAAAGUCACAGACUCUAGUCUGCGUCAUUACAAUGUAUUCAAAAGGGGUCAUUCUUCCUGUGGAGAAUGGCAGUUCCAAUAUCGCUGUUGUGAUUGGGAUCAUUUUAGGAUUUUCUUUGAUUCAAGUGUUCUUGUUUAUUUCGCAGAAGAGCUUUCUCUGACUUUUCUUUUUCCCAUCAUAACACCAGACUAGUCACUACUUAACAAGAACCAAAUGAUGUUAAAUUUCAGAAUGACUCUGAGUCUAAAAUUUUCUUAAGCUGAAGGAAAAAGAUGGCUACCACAGCAAUCUGAUUGGUUAAUUACAGCUAGGAAGCUGUGCAAGGGGUGGUUCUGGGUUUUGGGAUCUGAACACAAAUAUGGUUCAUAUGGAGUUUUCAUUGUCAUCAAACUUAAGUGAUUCAUGUGUUAAACAUGCUAAUUACAUGAAUUUUCAUAUCUUCUCCUCCAAACAAAUUCAUUUAAAAAAUUUCAGUUCCCAAAGUUUAUUUCAGAAUUUUUAGCUCUGCUAAAAUAAAAUGUAUUCAACUGAUUUUAAACAGCUUUGAAAACAGUUUAGGAAAUCUGGAAUUCAUAGGCGUUUCUGCUAUGGUUUUUCCUAUGUUACAUAAAAAUGGUCAUUUCUCCCAUUGCAGUAGAAGAAAAGAAUGUGAUUAUUGUAGAAACUGGAAUUCUGGGUUUUUAACCAUGAUCCAACACAAACGGCUGUGGUUUGGGGGAACUUAACCUAUUCUAAACUCAACAUCCUGAGCUGGAAUUAAUUGCUCAUUAGAAGCAGAAAGAGUUCUUUUUUCACUCUAAUGUAACUAAAGCAUAGACUUUUUUUUGACAUAUUAUGGAAAAAUAAUGUGGUUCUGAACUUUCUUUUUCUGAUUUUUGGUAUUUAGGUUUGGGUUUGAGCCAGAGAUAGCCUAACUUAUUUGAUUAUAGCAUAAAAAGAAUGAUUUUAUUUUGACUUUUAGAGAGAAGUGAUGAAAUGAUACCAACAUUUGGUUUGGGUUCAGUUCUAUUGGGUUAAAAACAAAUUACGAGUGAUAAUUAAAGAUAAUUUCAGCAGAGAUUCUCUUUCUUUCAAACAUCUCUUGUAGAAAAAACAUCUCAACAGCUGUCACACUGGCCUUCCUUUCUUCUGUUCCACAGGGAGUCAGCACAGAUUGGAGUAUCAGCUUUGCUACUGAUCAUGUGACUAUGCACAAAGUCUCAGAACAUUAGUUUCCUCAUCUGUAAAAUAGAAUUAAAGACACCUACCACAUGGAGUUGUCUGGAAUAAUUAAUAUAAGGACCUCCAUCUGUGGGCUUAGGAAGACUGGAUGAGAAGACACCGUUUGGAGUAGCAUCUUCAGGGGAGACUUCAGACAGUGCUGACUGAGGAGUCACGGUCUGUGUAAGUUGUGGCAACUGGCCCUGGGCCACUGGGGGAAGACUCAGAAACAAAAGACUUCUUUUGAGGCAGCUGAGGGCCAGGCUGCUGGAGAAAUCAGUGCCGCCCCUUGGAUCAGGUCCUUACCCGCAGGAAAGCAGCUUGACUGGGAGAUACGGGGUAACGUGGGCUCUGUACAUAGAAGAGAGGAGCUGGAGGAGCUUCAGGCCCUGAUGCAGCAGCGAAAAGGUGUGGAGAAAAUGCCUCAGCAGCCAAGGUGCUCUUGCCCCUCGGUUUCACCAAGGGACUGUUUCUAAGGAUGGAUCUGUUCAACUCUCUCUCUGUUCCCUCCCAGACUUCCCCGAUGCUGCCUAAUUUUUACCUAAUUAGGGUUAAAUCAAAUACCUGCUUUAGAAACAGAAGUCUUUCAGGGAGUGGGAAGAACCUUCACGGAUCCGAUUAUUUGCCCCAACUCGACUCCCCCCAGCUCCGAGUGAUGAAAAUGAGCUACAGGAGAAUAGGUGCUUUAAUGGAGGACCAUGAAGAGAGGUGACCUUGGACUCCUGAGCAUCUGGAGGGCAUCAUGGACUUAAGUGUAGUAUGAUAAUGAGGAGUGGCCUUGUGAUGUAAUUCUGACCAGUAAGAGUACUACAUCUUUCUGGCCCUGGGAGCUCAGGAGUAGACAUGUGACCCAGGCUGAGGCAACAAGUCAUUGAGGAUUGUAUUGAACAUCAGUUCUAGGACUUUCUGGAUAUACUGCGGAUGAGACAACCUCUUUCUACAGAGCUGCUGGGUUGAGGCUGCUGAUGGCUGUCUUAUCACCAUAUAGGGGAGUCCCUUGACAAUGGUCCCGAAAGAGCGAAGCACAAAAGUUAUUCUCCUAAUAAUGAGCUCCUAAUGGCCUGUGGGAAGGAGUAGGACCAGCUUUGCCUUAAGUCAGAUAUCCUAUGGACCUUAAAGUUAUGUAAGCCAACAAAGUUUCUGUUUUUGCUUAGGCCAGUUUGAAUUAGGUUUCUGUUGCAACUUAACAGCCACUGACUAAUCCAUAAUUGUUUUUUAAUGUCCCUAGCU